rnacentral:rRNA from 1 species
UACGUAGGGUGCGAGCGUUGUCCGGAAUUAUUGGGCGUAAAGAGCUCGUAGGCGGUGUGUCACGUCGUUCGUGAAAACCUGCAGCUUAACUGUGGGCGUGCGGUCGAUACGGGCAUCACUGGAGUUCGGUAGGGGAGACUGGAAUUCCUGGUGUGAGCGGUGAAAUGCGCGAGAUAUCAGGAGGAACACCGGUGGCCGAAGGCGGGUCUCUGGGCCGGAUACUGACGCUGGAGGAGCGAAAGCGUGGGGAGCGAACAGG